UACGGAGGAUGCAAGCGUUAUCCGGAUUUAUUGGGUUUAAAGGGUGCGUAGGCGGAUAUGUAAGUCAGCGGUGAGACUCACAGGCUCAACCUGUGCCGUGCCGUUGAAACUGUGUAUCUGGAAUGCGGAUGCUGUGGGAGGAAUGUGUAGUGUAGCGGUGAAAUGCAUAGAUAUUACACAGAACACCGAUUGCGAAGGCAUCUCACAAAGCCGUUAUUGACGCUGAGGCACGAAAGUGUGGGGAUCAAA
rnacentral:rRNA from 1 species